AUUACGGACUUCAAACUAUCCAAACUAACAAAGAAUUACUUUGCAAUCAAGAAUCAAGUGGCCAAUUUGAUCAAAACAACAAAGCAACAAUAAAUUAAGCACAAAAUUGCAUAAAUACUGAUUAAUAAAAGAAUAACAUGAAGGUUCAGAUCUCCCAAUCCAUAAACAACCAAAGUUUCACCUUUAUUCUUCAACUAGAAAAAGGGUUUCAGCCACUCAUGGCUGAAACUAACAUAAAAGAAAAGAAAGAAAGCAAAAAGAAGGAGAAAAAGA
rnacentral:lncRNA from 1 species